GGCAAGAUCCGAGGAAGCUAUGACGAUAAUAGUACAGUCUUUAACGCGCGUUACGGGGCGGAGAGAUAAUGGCCGCGCGGAAUGAGAGGCCGCGCGAGUAAUAAACCGGGAAUAGAGGGUACAAUAAAAAGGCAGCGAGAUAGAGACAACAAUGUUCCGAGAGAAGAUGAAGCAACCGAAGGAAGCUAACGAGAGAGAUAAAAUAGGAUCGCGGGCGAAGUGGAAGGAUUAGGACUUCCUCGUCGCAGCACAUCUGCAUCGUUGGACCUGGCCAGAUAAGCGGAACAAGCGAAGAAAACACCGUGGACCACCAUAAUUUCUCGCGCAGAAAAAACGUCGGAAAAAAUAGUUCGCGAUGCGCGCGUCGAAUAAAGCGCAAUAAACUGUAAAUAAUAAAUAACAAAGCAUAUAAUAAAUAAUAAAGCAUCGAUUUAACUAUACGCGUUCGAUCGUCCGAAAUAUUUAGCGGAAUGAAACGACAACGGUUUUUCGGUGUUCUCGAUUAUCCACGCAAAAAAAAAACGAAAACAAAAGAAUGAUUAACACGAUUUAAUUCGCGGAGGAUCAACGAGAUUCGUUCGAACAUUUUUUCGCGGUUAUUCGCGGCCCGGUUUUUCUAGGUUAAGCCGCAAUUGAAGUUCAAUUGGCAGAACGGCACCCCGAAUGCGUAGAAAUAAUGUUCAUUCUACGCAAUCGGCGCGUCCACCGUAAUCGCGGUUUACCUGCCGAAGGAUCCAAAUCAAAAGCGAUCGCGGCGUCGCUCUACCGUGAAAGAUGCAAAUAUCCCAGUGUGCCGCUUCGUUGCCCAAGUUAUUCGAUUGUCUUUGUUUUUCUUUUAAUCACGCGUUAGUCGAUCGAAGGCGGGCCGGUGAUUGUUCGACGAAGAGAAAUUUUCUGAUAAUAUUCGGCAGGAGAGAGCAGAGUUGUGUGGAAUCGCGA